rnacentral:rRNA from 1 species
GAUGAACGCUGGCGGCGUGCCUAAUACAUGCAAGUAGAACGCUGAAGGAAGGAGCUUGCUCUUUCCGGAUGAGUUGCGGACGGGUGAGUAACGCGUAGGUAACCUGCCUGGUAGCGGGGGAUAACUAUUGGAAACGAUAGCUAAUACCGCAUAACAGUAGAUGUUGCAUGAUAUCUACUUAAAAGGUGCAAUUGCACCACUACCAGAUGGACCUGCGUUGAAUUAGCUAGUUGGGGAGGUAACGGCCCACCAAGGCGACGUACCUUAGCCGACCUGAGAGGGUGACGAGCCACACGGGACCGAGGAACGGCCCAGAAGCCUAACGGAGGGAGGAGUAGGGGAACUUCGGCAAUGGGCGGAAGGCCGAACGAGGCACGCCGGGGUAGGUAAGGAAGGUUUCGGAUCGUAAAACUCUGUUGUAAGGGAAGGACGAGUGGGAGAGUGAAAAGUUCACGCUGUGACGGUAUCUUACCAGAAAGGGACGGCUAACUACGUG